rnacentral:rRNA from 1 species
AUUGAACGCUGGCGGCAGGCCUAACACAUGCAAGUCGAACGAGUGGCGGACGGGUGAGUAAUGUCUGGGAAACUGCCUGAUGGAGGGGGCUCACUACUGGAAACGGUAGCUAAUACCGCAUACCAUCGGAUGUGCCCAGAUGGGAUUAGCUAGUAGGUGGGGUAAAGGCUCACCUAGGCGACGAUCCCUAGCUGGUCCGAGAGGAUGACCAGUCACCCUGGAACUGAGACACGGUCCAGACUCCUACGGGAGGCAGCAGUGGGGAAUAUUGCACAAUGGGCGCAAGCCUGAUGCAGCCAGGCCGCGUGGAUGAAGAAGGCUUUCGGGUUGUAAAGUACUUUCAGCGGGGAGGCGUUACCCGCAGAAGAAGCAACGGCUAACUCCGUGCCAGCAGCCGCGGUAAUUC